rnacentral:rRNA from 1 species
GAUCCUGGCUCAGAUUGAACGCUGGCGGCAUGCCUUACACAUGCAAGUCGAACGGUAACAGGUCUUCGGACGCUGACGAGUGGCGAACGGGUGAGUAAUACAUCGGAACGUGCCCAGUCGUGGGGGAUAACUACUCGAAAGAGUAGCUAAUACCGCAUACGAUCUGAGGAUGAAAGCGGGGGACCCUUCGGGCCUCGCGCGAUUGGAGCGGCCGAUGGCAGAUUAGUAGUUGGUGGAUAAAG